rnacentral:sRNA from 1 species
AGAAGGCUGUUUUGGGUGCAUCUUCUG